ensembl:snRNA U6 U6 spliceosomal RNA
GUGCUUGCUCCAGUAGCAUGUACACUAAAACCGGAGUGAUACAGAGGAGAUUAGCACAGCUUCUGUACAAGGAUGACUUACAAAUUAUGGAAGCAUUCCACAUUUUG